CAUGCUAUGGAUGAUACAGAGCUUCUAUCCGAGCAUGUCAUCUCCGAACCUUUUGAGCCAUCGCCAUUUAUGCCUGGUGGUUCAAAAGGAUUUGAUGACUUAAAUGCAAACCAGCAAAGAGAGCAAAAUAAUCCUGAUCCGUCCGCUCCAUCUACUACUAAUGAAAAGGAGAACAACACUAGGGAAAAUAAUGUGGCUAAAAU
rnacentral:misc_RNA from 1 species